rnacentral:rRNA from 1 species
CCUACGGGAGGCAGCAGUCGAGAGGCUUCCACAAUGGGGGAAACCCUGAUGGAGCGACGCCGCGUGGGUGAGGAAGGUCUUCGGAUCGUAAAGCCCUGUCAGGAGGGAAGAAAACCGGAUUGGCUAAUAACCUUUCCGCUUGACGGUACCUCCAGAGGAAGCUCCGGCUAACUCCGUGCCAGCAGCCGCGGUAACACGGAGGGAGCAAACGUUGUUCGGAAUCACUGGGCGUAAAGGGCGCGUAGGCGGUUCGGUAAGUUGGGUGUGAAAUCUCCUGGCUCAACUAGGAGAGGUCGCUCAAUACUGUCGAACUAGAGAGUGGUAGAGGGAGGUGGAAUUCCGGGUGUAGUGGUGAAAUGCGUAGAUAUCCGGAGGAACACCAGUGGCGAAGGCGGCCUCCUGGUCUGUCCCUGACGCUCAGACGCGAAAGCUAGGGGAGCAAACAGGAUUAGAUACCCUGGUAGUCCACGCCCUAAACGGUGGGUACUAGGUGUAGGGCUCGUAAGGGUUCUGUGCCGAAGCGAAAGCAUUAAGUACCCCGCCUGGGGAGUACGGCCGCAAGGUUGAAACUCAAAGGAAUUGACGG